CUCACCUUGAGCCUCCACACCCACGACAUAUAAUUUUAGCUGAAGUAAGCUAAAUUAAACAGCCAGAGACCAGCAUUACUGACAUAUGUGCAUCUGCAAUUGAAUGACAUUGACUGGUGUUGUUGAUAGUGAUUACAAGAUGAUAUUUUAGCAUUUAUGAUACUGUUUACAUGUCAGUUGCAUGCAUGGGCGCCAUGUUGAUGAUGCGUGUGUCGUCACACAAAACACAAGCUCGGGAACUCGUUCUUCUAUACUUCCGCCAGAGAUCAACCUCGAUAAUUAUCGAUCUGACAUUGCGUCACCAAAUGUUCACUCCCACUUUCCCGAGGUUUUAGGUCGGCUUUCUGGGGAUUCUCGAUUUUUUGAACGAGCCAUUAGACUACCCAGUGACGUGAUUGUGCCCAAUGAAACAGGAGGCCUCGAUUCGUGCAGAAGAUAAGGUUUGAAACCCAGACAGCACGAAGCAUCUUGCCGACGUCAAAAUCAGAUCAACAGACAGGGACAUCAGCCUUCUCUUGGGAAUAGGCCAGAUAUGCCAGAACAAGAAAUGGUAAGUCUAUCACUACAUAAGAUCCAUAACAAAAUACUCCUAGUUAAAUCUUAAAUGUGACCUGGUGGCAUUAUUGCGUGAAUGCUUAUGUUGAACACUUAAUAAAUAAGAUCCUCAAGUGUGUAGAGUUCGUUAUUUAUUUACAUUUUCCUCAGCAUAACUGUACAGCUGACACCACUGCCUUCUGUAUCAUAACAAAGCCUGUCACUUCCACGUUUCGUUCUUCUUAUGUGACCGAAGUCACUGGCUACUGCACCAGAGAGGGUCUCUGCACUCAUUGCUGGUCCUAUGAUGCCAUCUAUUGGCGAAAACGUGCAACAGCAUAAUUAAACUAAAAGACAACUUCUGACAGGACAACAAAAAGACAGGGAGUGAGAAUAAGGGAAUAACAAAAAGACAAAAAUGGGGGGUCCACUACACUUGCAUACCUGAUUGUGAUGCUGUCACUCAUUUUCUAGUCUAUAUCUUGGACUGAAAAAGGAUGCUUUGCCCCUGCGGUUGUGAAGAGGAUGCUGUGGAGGUGGCAGCAUGAACGUGUCACACAGACAUUGGCUAAACUACUCGGCUUCUACACUUGCCCUCAGAGUUCACAUAUGGUGAAGUGCACAGGUGUCCAGUCAGGUUCAGACUGAUGCUGGUAACAAGAGGAAAACAUGCUAAUUGGUCAGUCCAUGAGCCCACGUCUUCAGGUCAUGGGCCUGAGAAGAAUCUACCGUUACAGGGGUCAGAAGAGAUCCUCAAACUAUGCUGACAUUACUACCCCUGUACUUCAACCCCUCUGCUGCCACUGGGUCCUCAACGAGAAAAUAAACUGAUUUCCCCCCCCCC